rnacentral:rRNA from 1 species
GUGGGGAAUCUUCCGCAAUGGACGAAAGUCUGACGGAGCAACGCCGCGUGAGUGAAGAAGGUUUUCGGAUCGUAAAGCUCUUUCGUUAGGGACGAACGUGCUCUUUGUGAAUAAUGAGGAGUAAUGACGGUACCUAAAUAAGAAGCCACGGCUAACUACGUGCCAGCAGCCGCGGUAAUACGUAGGUGGCAAGCGUUGUCCGGAAUUAUUGGGCGUAAAGCGCGCAGAGGCGGGAUAUCAAGUCUGUCUUAAAAGUGAGAGGCUCAACCUCGUGAGGGGACAGAAACUGGUAUUCUUGAGUGUAGGAGAGGAAAGUGGAAUUCCAAGUGUAGCGGUGAAAUGCGUAGAGAUUUGGAAGAACACCAGUGGCGAAGGCGACUUUCUGGACGAUGUCUGACGCUGAGGCGCGAAAGCUAGGGGAGCGAACGGGAUUAGAAACCCUGGUAGUCC